rnacentral:lncRNA from 1 species
GGGAAAGCGACUAGUCUUUUUUUGUUGGAUUUCGAGGAAGAGGUCCCGGGAGCUGCUGAAAGNCGCUGGACCAAUCAGAGUAAAGAUCAAGACUUUGGCUGGGACUAGUCUUUUUUUGUUGGAUUUCGAGGAAGAGGUCCCGGGAGCUGCUGAAAGCAACUUUGUAUCCAGGAGUGGCCUGAUCCUGCAUGUGUUCAUACCCAGGCGGACUGGUCAUGGGAAGAACCAUGAAGAAGGGAACUUGACGUCAAGAGGGCCGAUCAGGAGCAGAUGUCAGAAGAUCCAUGCCCUUUUUUGGUGCAAAGAAACCAUGAUGCAUCAAAAAGAGGCUGGAGAGAAUAAAGAACAGAAAGCAGCUGCCUUCGGGAACACCUAG